CAAAAUAUGACGCAAGUUGAUGCGUUCACUCAAAAGAUUCAUAAACAAACGAAAGGCCACUAAAAGGCGGUAUAAAUUGCACUACCGACGCGAAACUGCUCUGAAGGGAUUUUUAUCAGAUUCUAAGACAGCAUCACAUUCAACUUUGAUUGAAAUUAGGGUAAUUCACUAAGAAGAGGUGUGUAUCUGGAUGUAGAUGCAGUAAUGUGAACAGUUGCAAAAAUUCAGUGUUAAGAGGUCCUACAAUCGCACAGGUAAUCUAGAAACAAUUACUCCAAUCGGUGA
ensembl:lncRNA